ensembl:lncRNA LINC02241 long intergenic non-protein coding RNA 2241
AGCUGGUUUUGAGGAAGUGAGCUGCCAUGUACUAGGCCACGUGGCAAGGGCCUGGUUGGGGACCUCCAGGGGUUGAGAGCAUCCUCUGGACAACAUGGAAAAAGAAAAUGAAAAUGGUGACCUCAGCCCUAUAGCUAGAAGGAAUUGAAUCCUGUCAACAACGAUUGGGUUCUCGGUCUCGCUGACUUCAAGAAUGAAGCCGCAGACCCUCACGACUCAUCACUCACUGCAGAUGUUACUUUAAGACAUUCUGGAGCAGCGUCAUGUGCAGGAACAAUAAGGAAGUGAGUGCUUUUGUAAUUCCUGAACAACUGUGUCUUACACUUACUAAGGGAUUCAUGGGCAAUAUGACUGAAUAGGAACAGCUCCAGUCUGAAGCUCCCAGUGAGACCAACAUAGAAGAAAAACCUGGUGGUAUGGACUUCCAGCUCAAUAAUUCACUGUAAAGUUCUCUUGCCUGCCACCAUGUAAGAUAUGCUUUUACUCUUCCGCCUUCCACCGUGACUGUGAGGCCUCCCCAGCCAUGUGAAACUGCCUUUGAGCUUAUACUGAAUUAUACCACCAGCUUUCCUAGGUCUUGAAGCUUACAGACAGCAGAUCUUGGGACUUCUCAGGCACCAUAAUCAAUCAUAGAUAAAUGAUCCAAUGAUUCGGAACUUGAAAAGUGGUAGCUUUAUGAAUUCUCCUUAAGAAGAAACCUGUGCCCUGAUCUUGCCUACUCACCCAAAGGCACUGUGAGAUAGCAUCAAAGGAACAGCUAGUAAGAGACACAGAGCCAGAAAUCAGGGAAGUAAAAUACACUUGACAUCUACGUUCGGAAAGAAAUUUUAGGAGGCAGAAGCAAAUGGAUCAGAAGCUGCUUAUAUUUUUGCAAGAUUACCAAAGAAACCAUUGGUGGAGAAAGUUCUGUGACCAACUUGUCUGAGUCUAGUAAGAUUGAACGCUCACACACAAGUUUCAUGAAGUGGGUUUGAUACUUACAGAUAAGCAGCAAGGACCAACAGAAGCUGAUGAUCUAUGGUGAACUUUUUCCCAAGGCUCCGGAAAGCUGCCUAAAGUAGAUGGAGUCUUCUCUGUGUGUGCCCCACUGGUCCUGCAGUUGAAGGAUCCGGUAAAGCAGCCUGCCCUUGGUUUUAUACUCCAGAGGAACGUGAUUCGCUGGACUAAAGCAUUGAAGUGCAUCCUGUUUCCGGGGGGCACUGGAACAGAGCCUGGUCUGUUCUAGCCAGUCCCUUUCUAUCUCAGGAUAACAUUCUACAGUUAUUCUUGAGAACUAUAAUCAAAUAAGCAGGGAGAACUGGGAAAGCAGAGGCUCAUUGUGGAACCCUCAAGGAGCAUGGGGUCGUCUUCAUCCCUCAGUUUAUAAAUGGCCAAGGAGAGUAAUGCAACAAAAACUUCUCAGAGUUAAAAGCCAGAGUUCCUAAAGAACCGUGGACAAAGGGUUCUGUCUAGUGGGCAGAAUUCAUCCAGCGAAGGAAAUUUGGAACCCAGGUUUUCCCAACCUACAUCUACAAAAUGGAAUGGGUCUGAUUCGCAAGUUUUCAGAGAAAGAAGCCAACCUUAAUCAGACUGUGAUAUGAUGAGGAAAUAAAACUUGCUGUGCUAA